AGGGGUAUAGCUCAGUGGUUAGAGCACCCGCAUACGUAUCGGAAGGUCGGGGGUUCGACUCCCUCUGCCUCCU
rnacentral:tRNA from 1 species